rnacentral:rRNA from 1 species
CCUACGGGUGGCAGCAGUGGGGAAUAUUGCACAAUGGGCGCAAGCCUGAUGCAGCCAUGCCGCGUGUAUGAAGAAGGCCUUCGGGUUGUAAAGUACUUUCAGCGGGGAGGAAGGCGAUAAGGUUAAUAACCUUGUCGAUUGACGUUACCCGCAGAAGAAGCACCGGCUAACUCCGUGCCAGCAGCCGCGGUAAUACGGAGGGUGCAAGCGUUAAUCGGAAUUACUGGGCGUAAAGCGCACGCAGGCGGUCUGUCAAGUCGGAUGUGAAAUCCCCGGGCUCAACCUGGGAACUGCAUUCGAAACUGGCAGGCUGGAGUCUUGUAGAGGGGGGUAGAAUUCCAGGUGUAGCGGUGAAAUGCGUAGAGAUCUGGAGGAAUACCGGUGGCGAAGGCGACUCUCUGGUCUGUAACUGACGCUGAGGAGCGAAAGCGUGGGGAGCGAACAGGAUUAGAUACCCGAGUAGUC